AGAGUUUGAUCCUGGCUCAGGAUAAACGCUGGCGGCGUGCCUAACACAUGCAAGUCGAACGCGGAUGGCAACAUCCGAGUGGCGGACGGGUGAGGAACACGUGGGUCAUCUACCUUGAGGUGAGGAAUACCGGCGAGAAAUCGCCGACAAUACCGCAUACGUUUGGGAACAAACAAAGUCGAGCAAUCGACGCCCCAAGA
rnacentral:rRNA from 1 species